rnacentral:rRNA from 1 species
UGGGGGAUAGCCUUUCGAAAGAAAGAUUAACACCGCAUAACAUCACGAAAGGGCAUCCUUUUUUGAUCAAAUAUUUAUAGGAUAAAGAUGGUCAUGCGUGACAUUAGCUAGUUGGAGAGGUAAUGGCUCACCAAGGCGACGAUGUCUAGGGGAUCUGAGAGGAUGACCCCCCACACUGGUACUGAGACACGGACCAGACUCCUACGGGAGGCAGCAGUAAGGAAUAUUGGUCAAUGGGCGCAAGCCUGAACCAGCCAUGCCGCGUGCAGGAAGACGGCCCUACGGGUUGUAAACUGCUUUUAUUCGUGAAUAAAUCACCUUACGUGUAAGGUGUUGAAAGUAGCGAAAGAAUAAGGAUCGGCUAACUCCGUGCCAGCAGCCGCGGUAAUACGGAGGAUCCAAGCGUUAUCCGGAUUUAUUGGGUUUAAAGGGUGCGUAGGCGGAUUAUUAAGUCAGAGGUGAAAUUUUGCGGCUCAACCGUAAGCUUGCCUUUGAUACUGAUAAUCUUGAAUUAACUUGAGGUAGGCGGAAUGUGACAAGUAGCGGUGAAAUGCAUAGAUAUGUCACAGAACACCAAUUGCGAAGGCAGCUUACUAAGGUUAUAUUGACGCUGAGGCACGAAAGCGUGGGGAUCAAACAGGAUUAGAUACCCUGGUAGUCC